rnacentral:rRNA from 1 species
AAUAGUACGUGAAACCGUUUAGAGGUAAACUAAAAGAGUCGUAAAGUGGUCUGGUUAGAUUCAACUUGUCGAACGUCGGUCGACGAUCAGAUGCCUAACGCACUGGCUCUGUCGCCGGCCGGCGCCGAUAGGCGCACUUCUUUCCAGACAGCGUCACGACCGAUUCGGGCCUGGUCUUAAGCCGGGUUGGAAGGUGGCUCCKUUCUCCGGCGGAGAGUUAUAGCCUACCCUGGCGUCGUCCAGGCUCGGAUCGAGGAAUGGCCGUACCCGCUUAAGCACGGGCCCUCGUCCUGCGUUCGUCGUUCGACUGGGCUGGACUGUUACAGUGCUGUCCGACUGCGAUGGGUACGGGCGSGAGUGCUCCCGGGUACACACGGUCGGUGGCGAGUGGUCGGCAAUCUUCUAGACCC